UGUGUACUCCCUCCGUUCCAAAAUACUUGACUUUCAUUUGUCCAAAAAUGGAUGUGCCUAUAUACUAAAACAUGUCUAGAUACAUAUAUAUUUUGACAAAUAGAAGGCAUGUAUUGUGCAACGGAGGGAGUAGAAU
rnacentral:pre_miRNA from 1 species